UUUGGAAAGAAUGGUGGAGGCAAACACCAAGCAUCUGAUUCCACAUGAGCUCCCGGUAUUUGAAAACCGAACAGAGAAGGGGGAAGGAGGGACACCAGUUCGGAGCUUCUGUAGUGAUCCAGAGUGACGUAAGGCUGGACCAAAGAAUUAAUGGUGGGAAUGAAGAAGAGAGCAACCCAAGAAGGUAGCAGGUUUGGUAACAGAACAGAUGUACGGAGAAAGAGAGAGAGAGAAACAAACUAAUCUGAGACAGCAGAAUAACUGGAGAACAUGGCCUUAGGACAGAUGGGAUAUCAGGAUUGACCAUGAAUUGUGGGACCCCAGCUGCAGAUGAACACCAUGACCGCAGAGCUCUAGCAUCCUGAGAGAUGGGACUGGAAGGAAGGGAGGAUGUGAGGGCAGAGGUGGAAGGAGAGAAUGAGAUCCAACUGUCCUCUCGUCAUGACCUUACCCUUGCACUGGCUUUAAGCUCUUCCAUCCAGCAGACCAGCACUCUCCAGCAUGAGGCCUGAGGAUGGCUUGUGUGGAAUUGCUGAAGCACUCAUUAAAAAUGUGAAGUCCAAGGCCACCUGCAGUGGGUCAGUCAGGUAAGUGUCUGCCUUUGG